rfam:Pelodiscus sinensis unplaced genomic scaffold scaffold5465, whole genome shotgun sequence.
GCCAAAAUAGCUCAGUGGGGCUAGCGUUAGACUGAAAAUCUGAAGGUCCCUGCUUCAAUCCCAGGCUUUGGCA